GAAACGCGAAAGGUAAUGCGAAUUGCAGAAUCAGUGAGUCAUCGAAUCUUUGAACGCACAUUGCGCCUCUCGGUAUUCCGGGAGGCACGCCUGUUCGAGCGCCAUUACAAACUCCAAGCGUGGCUUGAUGUUGGGCGAUGUCUUUUUGCGAGAGCGGAGACACGCCUGGAACGCGUUGGCGCCGCCGCCGGACCACGAGCGUAGCAAGACGAGAGUCAAUCGCAUCGAUUUGGUUUCCGACGGAGGUCCGCCUUUGGAUUGGAUCUUGGAUUCGAUCUACCCGUCCACAAGUUUGGCCUCGGAUCAGGCGGGGAUACCCGCUGAACUUAAGC
rnacentral:misc_RNA from 1 species